rnacentral:misc_RNA from 1 species
GAUGAAGAACGUAGCGAAAUGCGAUACUUGGUGUGAAUUGCAGAAUCCCGUGAACCAUCGAGUCUUUGAACGCAAGUUGCGCCCGAAGCCAUUAGGCCGAGGGCACGCCUGCCUGGGCGUCACACGUCGUUGCCCCCCCAUCUACUCCUUCGGGAUUGCGGGGGGCGGAUGAUGGCCUCCCGUGCGCCUCGCCGCGCGGUUGGCAUAAAUGCCAAGUCCUCGGCGACGCACGCCACGACAAUCGGUGGUUGCGAAACCUCGGUUGCCCGUCGUGUGCGGUCGUCGCGCAUCGAGGGCUCGAAAAAAUUGCCGGGUUCCGGCUCGGCUUUCAACGCGAUCCCAGGUCAGGCGGGGUUACCCGCUGAAUUUAAGCAUAUCAAUAAGCGGAGGA